rnacentral:rRNA from 1 species
AGUGGCGGACGGGUGAGGAACACGUGGGGAUCGACCCUGAGGUGAGGAAUACCACCGGGAAACCGGUGACAAUACCGCAUACGCUUGGCAACAAGCAAAGCUCGUAAGAGCGCCACAGGACGAACCUGCGCCCGAUUAGCUAGUUGGUGGGGUAAAAGCUUACCAAGGCGACGAUCGGUAGCUGGUCUGAGAGGACGAUCAGCCACACUGGGAUUGAGAACGGCCCAG